rnacentral:rRNA from 1 species
CCUACGGGAGGCAGCAGUGAGGAAUAUUGGUCAAUGGACGCAAGUCUGAACCAGCCAUGCCGCGUGCAGGAAGACGGCUCUAUGAGUUGUACACUGCUUUUGUACGAGGGUAAACGCAGAUACGCGUAUCUGUCUGAAAGUAUCGUACGAAUAAGGCUCGGCUAACUCCGUUCCAGCAGCCGCGGUAAUACGGAGGAUUCAAGCGUUAUCCGGAUUUAUUGGGUUUAAAGGGUGCGUAGGCGGUCGGUUAAGUUCGAGGUGAAAUACUGAGGCGUAACUUCGGAAUUGCCGCUGAUACUGUUCGGCUAGAGAGUAGUUGCGGUAGGCGGAAUGUAUGGUGUAGCGGUGAAAUGCUUAGAGAUCAUACAGAACACCGAUUGCGAAGGCAGCUUACCAGGCUACUUCUGACGUUGAGGCACGAAAGCGCGGGGAGCAAACAGGAUUAGAUACCCCGGUAGUC